rnacentral:rRNA from 1 species
CUGGGAUUCCCUCAGUAACGGCGAGCGAACAGGGAAGAGUCCAGCGCCGAAUUCCGACUUGGUAAGGUCGCGAAGAUGUGGCGUUCGGGAGAAUGCGGUCACGAGGCUCGGCUCAAGGUGCAAGUCCCCCUGACCGGGGCUGUCUACCCAGAGCGGGUGCGAGGCCCGUGGCACCGGCGUCGGGCCUCCGGACGCGACCUCCCGAGAGUCGGGUUGCUUGAGAGUGCAGCCCCAAUAGGGUGGUAAACUCCACCUAAGACUAAAUACGGCCGUGAGACCGAUAGCAAACAAGUACCGUGAGGGAAAGUUGCAAAGAACUUUGAAGAGAGAGUUCAAGAGUACGUGAAACUGCUCAGAGGCAAACGGGUGGGCCCUCGAAGUCCCGUUGCGGGCGGAUUCAGUGGGGAAGCCUUCCGGCCUCCGUCGCCUUUUACUUUCUCACCUCGGUGAGAGUGAGUCGGCUUCGGGCGGUCCGGUCGACCGCCCCACGCAUUUCCGCCCCAAUCAUGGGCGCCGCAGCCGGUCGGAAAUAGUGUCGGCGAAGAGGUCGGGCGAAUGGCAGGUCGCCGGCGAUCGCUCUUAAUGGGCGUUUUCGUCGGUGGGUAGCCGGUUCCGACCCGAGCCCGGCAUCCGACCGAGGCUGUGCUUUCUCCUACUUCUAUUCAUUAGGAGUGCGGCCGGCCGGCGGACUGGUGCGCUGCCGCGACGAUCGCCGUCAGUCUAUAGCACUGGGCGUCUCGCGGGAAUCCCCCAGAGUCCGCACGGUCCCGCGAGGAGGAAUACGGCUGGCGGCGAGUAGGUCGGUCACCCACCCGACCCGUCUUGAAACACGGACCAAGGAGUCUAACAUGUGUGCGAGUCACGGGGUCUUGUUCAGGCCCGCAGGCAGAAUGAAAGUGACUCUCUAAUAAUGGGGAUUCCUACGAGAGUAGGAAGCACCGAAGGCCCGCCCCGGUCUUAUUUAGACCCGGCGGAGUCCGAGCCCACACGUUGGGACCCGAAAGAUGGUGAACUAUGCCUGGGCAGGACGAAGCCAGAGGAAACUCUGGUGGAGGUCCGCAGCGGU